rfam:Canis lupus familiaris chromosome 9, whole genome shotgun sequence.
GCAUUUGCUUUGGCAGUACAAAUGUUAUAAUUGGAAUGAUACAGAGAUUAGCAUGGCUCUUGUGCAAGGAUGACAUAUAAUGUACAUCAUAAGUAUACCAUAACA